GAGUUACACACUUCCAACGUUGGCACAUUUAGAUGACUCGAAGGCCGUGGUUGAGUGCAAAAAAUAUUUCAGCAUAAAGUAUGCAUUUGACGUGUACAACUACAUUUUCAAAGGGAAGAAAAUUGGUGACGGUAGUUGCCGAGCUCUUGUGGCGUUAGAAAGAUCGUGCCAUACUGUUUUCGUGAACAACACUUUUACUUAUGAACACACCGGGAACAGAAUUGUCGUUCAUGCAGGGUUGACCGAGUAUUUAAUCAUUGUAUAAUUGUAAAUUCAGUCCCACCUUCUUCUUCUUUAUCUUAAAAAGAGAAUUGAACUUCUCUACGGCUAAUAUAUUUGGGGGAUGUUUCAUGAGAUAAAAUAAAAUUUUGAUAUAUUUGAUUUGAUGCCUCAUUACAACAUCACUUUGUUGCUUUGAGUUGUAAACCAUUUUCUUCAUCAACGAGGAAUGAACAAUAGCAAUAAAACAACUACCACGCUAAUUUAGAAAACUUCGUGAAACAUUGUAAGUAAUAUAGAUCAGUUUUAUAUUUGUUCGGCCCUUAUAUGUGCAUUACGUUCCGAUAUUAUAGAUAAACCGCAUAUUGAUAUGUCAUGCUUAUCUUCUUAGAUAAUUAUAUUGCUCGACCAAACUAAGGCAUGUGAAAAAUUAUUGUCGAGUAUAUUGCUACUCGUAUGAUCACGAUCUUCCUUGUAACAGUCAUGCGUGCCUUCUUAAUUGUUUCCGGAUCUAAAUUGAGAAAGAUGGGAACUUCGCCAUAUCAUAUAGCU
rnacentral:lncRNA from 1 species